rnacentral:rRNA from 1 species
ACACGUAGGGCGCAAGCGUUGUCCGGAUUUAUUGGGCGUAAAGGGCUCGUAGGCGGUUUCGUAAGUCGGGUGUGAAAACUCAGGGCUCAACCCUGAGACGCCACUCGAUACUGCGAUGACUAGAGUCCGGUAGGGGAGCAGGGAAUUCCUGGUGUAGCGGUGAAAUGCGCAGAUAUCAGGAGGAACACCAUUAGCGAAGGCGCUGCUCUGGGCCGGUACUGACGCUGAGGAGCGAAAGCAUGGGGAGCAAACAGGAUUAGAAACCCUAGUAGUCC